AGGAGUUAAAGACAGACCUUUGGGUUCAGUGGCUGAUCGACACAGGACCAAGCGAUGUGCUUGCUAUGAGGGCUGGGUCCCCAUCCUUGUACCACUUUGGAUACAACAACUUCAAGGAUCAGUAAACUAUUAACCCAUUGACUGGAAAGCUGCUAACUGUGGAGAUCCCCAUACUGUUUGCUGACAGGUCCUGGGGUACUGAAAGGACUGAGAUGCUGCCAUUCUUCUCAAGCUCUGAAGAGACCAGGUGACACACACCCCAUAUAUUAUGACAACACUAUGAAGACUGAGAAAUCGUCUGUGAGAGCAGAUCAGAGGGGAAUGCAUUUUGAUAUGUGCAUUAAAAUACAGGCAUGUAAUGUUAUGUUGAUUAUGUAAAAGUAGGGAAACCUGUAAAAAUAACACCAGUACAUUUACUACCUAACAGCUUUUGUUUAAAAGUUAUUCAUAAUAGUCCAAAUACUAUUUACCAUAUUUCACGCCAUUUAUAAUGUUUUCUGUAUGCAUUAAAUGUUUUAUUAAGAAACUGUAGGGGGUUUCUCUCUCACUCUCUGAAAUUGUCUAGAACUAUUAAUGCCUACUUGUCAGGGUUUUACACAUAAUAGCCCUAAGUUUAACUCUGUGUAAUACUUUCUGAAAAGACAACUCUUGCCUGUGCUGAAGCAAGGAGUUAAGAUGAGAAGCAGGAAGAGGGUGGGUGUUGCAGAAUUAUACAUAAUAUUGCCUUUGCAUCCCUCUUCCCCAUUACAUUUAGAAGAUAAAAACAUACAUAAAGCAAAAACAGUUCUUUUUUCAUAUUUGAUAUUCCCUGCAGUAGCUCUCAGAAUUUGAUUAAGUCUCAUGAUAUUUAGUAUUUUUCUUCGAAUCCUACUUACAGGAAUCAAAAGACUGUGAAUCUCAGAUUUUGUUUAAAAAAUAAAAAGCAACUUCAUGGUUGUGGCAAAAAGCUUGAAAACAUCAAACCACUGAAUCCUAAAGAGUCAGCAACCAGAAGGUAAAUAAAAAUCCCUAAGGUUUUUUAAUUAAUCAUUUCUAAGCAAAUGUAGUCUCUGUGACCCGACUUAAGAUUUAAAAUGUUUGAAUCUGGUUAAACUUUUACAAUGAUGUAGACCCAAAUCCAACAGCACUGCGCUAGUGCACAUAAAGUGAAACUAAUUGUAAUUAACUAAAAAUAAAAUCUGAAAGUGAACUAUUUUUGUUAGCAAUUUGAGUGAAGUGCCAAAAGUUUUAAACACCCACACAGUGAGAUAAUUAAAAAUUUGACACCUACUAGGCCAAAGGUUUAAGUCUAAAUUGUAUGACUCAAAGCAAUAAACGUGCAGUGGUGGCUGUGCAGUGUAUGAAGAUAAUAUAUACUGCCACUCAACUUCCUAAAAUAGAUUUUUAAAGUGUUACUUUAUGGCUCCUGCUUUUCUUAAACCCUUCCCUUCCUAGCUUCACUCCACUUUUUCUUUACUAUAAUUCCCACUUACUCUCUUUCUAUACAUGGAGUGUAAACAAUUCAACAGAUAUUUAAUAGACGGAACUUAAAAUUUGAAGUUCAGGGGCAAUAUGCAGAGAAGUCAAAAACCUUCCCCCUCCUCUCUCCAAAACAUUUAGAAAGUGCUGCAAUUUUUACCAGAAUACUGGCCCUAAAGCCUUAGGCUAUGUCUACACUAGCACUUUUGUUAGUAAAACUUUUGUCGGUCAGGGGUGCGAAAAAACACACAUCCGACUGACAUAAGUUUCAUCGACAAAAGCAGGGGUAUGGACAGCACUAGGUCAGCAGGAGAUGCUCUCCUGCCGACAUACCUACCACUGCUCGUUCGGGGUGGUUUAAUUAUGUCAACAGGAGAGCACUCUCCCAUCAGCAUAAAAGAGCUACACAGGAGACCUUACGGAGACCUGUGCCGCUGUAAGGUCUGUAGUGUAGGCAAAGCCCUUAGCACGAAUCAAUCUUUUUUAGUAGGCGUCUGAAAAACUUGAAGCUCUACACACCCAUCCUCCCAACUGCUGCUGGUAGGUAUAAACACACUCUCCCCUCAAAACCUUUAGGGUAGUCUACACUAGAAGUGCUACAGGAGCACAGAUGAAGACGCUCUAUGCCAAUGGGAGAGAGCUCUCCCAUUGGCAUAAUAAAACCACCUCUGCGAGAGUAUAUAUGUCGGCGGGAACAGCUCUCUCACUAACAUAGCGCUGUCCACACCAACGUUUAGGUCGGUAUAACUUACGUCGCUCAAAGGGCUGGCUUAGUCACACCCCGUGAGUGACAUAAGUUAUACCAACAUAACCUGUAGUGUAGAUCAUCCCUUGGCCUGACUGCUGGUGAAAGGGUGGUAGUAAUUACUUCUGAUCUAUCAGUCACAAAGCUUCAGUUUUUGGGAAAGAUGCUUACAUCAUAAGUGAGUGGAUUUUUCAAACCCAGAUUAAAAAAGGAAAGAAUUUUAACAUCUAGUUUACUUUUCACUAUUUUUUGUAGCCUGUUUACUUUUUGCACUUUAAAUCAUCUUGGCCUAUGAGUAUAAUCCAAUCACUCUUGGUUUAGUUUGUUUUCCACCCCCACCCUACUUUCUGGUUUGAAUGCAUUAGCACAGUGCUGAAGUGUCUGAGCUGAAAACUUUGGAGCUUGAUUUUAUGAGGUGUUAACCACCUUCACCUCCCAUUAUAAGGGAAUAUUUAAAGCAAACAAAAAUCAUUUUCACUGACUUAAAAUUGCUUGAAUAAAAACAUUCCUAUUAAUGAGAGGUGGUUAAACAUCUUUAUUAAAAACUCUAAAUUUUAGGCUUGAGCUAUCUGAAAACAUUUCUAGAAAAUUGUCCCAAUUGUGAUUCUAUUUAAUCAUGAAACAAAGGAACAGAAAUAGAGUAUAAAAAUAGGAUAGGCCCUUACAAUCUGUACAGUUUUCCUGUAAAAUUCUAAAAUGACUGAGUCACAAUUUCAUUGACACAGAAGAAAAGAAAAUUAAGGGAAACAGAUGAAAUGGUUUAAAUUAUCAUAUAUACUGAGCUAGGAACUAAUGAUUGUCACUGUGAAAGUUCAUACAGAUUUGGCAGACUUUUCAUAUUUUAUUUGUAAAAACAACAUACAGACUUGAGUUGUUAAUUAUUUUCCUUGACACCUUUAAUUCAAUAUACUAAAAAAAAAAUUUGAUUGUCAGUCAAAAAAGAAAUAUGACAAGUUGUUUCUAAAUAUUAGAUAAACAAAAAAGUUUUCCUAGAAGAUUAGACCUUGUUCAAAUUACAAUCUUGACUUGAUUUUCUUGUUGUCUAACUGAAGCAGUUGUGUCUGCACUUUGAAGGACAGAGUAAGUAACCUCACAGACUGAUCAUUCUUCAACAAUAAUUUAAGGACCCCAAUGAAACAAGUUCAUAGGGAAGUUUUGCUUUCAAAAACAGAUGCAAAAAUGUAGCAGUCAGUUUUUCAAUUAACACACAAAAAACAAAGUAAUCGCUCAAGCAAGGUGGUAAAAAUUGUAGGACUCAAAUCCAAAUUUAGGAACACGUCCUUGACGCAAAAUACUUCUGAACUGACCUCAAAAAUUCUUUCACAGAUGAUUUCCUGACACGAGUCAAGCAGCAUUUUAAAAAAGCAACAGGCAAGUAGCUUCCCUUUACAAUAAUAUUAAAAUCUUAAAUUGCACUUUUCAUCCAUAGACCACAAAUCACUUAAAGAAAAGUGAGUAUCAUUAUCCUCAUUUUCAGUUGAAGGCACAGCUCCCACCUGAGGUGCAGAUUUAGUUCUGCCCACUAGUUUCAAGGAGAAUGGAAACCCCACAAUAGAACUGUAAGACACACAAAAGAAUUCUCAGUUACAAUCAAUUCCAAGAGUAGUUUCUCCAUUAUAAUUACUCAUAGAAUUGGCAACUGAAUCAAAAUUUAAUCUUGAUGCAUGUUAUUGCUUACACAAUUUCUAAUUCUUUUUUGAGGUUUCCUUCUGCGCAGGAAGCUGCCAGUCCACCCCUUCCUUCUUUCCUUACACAAGUGAUAACAGUUUUCAGAUAGUGAGCUGCAUUUAUAUCCUGCUUAUGACUGAAAUGAAGAUUAAUAUGCAGCAAAGGCAUUUAAAAUAUGUUCUCAAAAAAGAAAGAUUCUAUGAAAUGAGGAGACCCUAAUUACCUUCCAAAUAAGGAAAAAAGUUACAGUAAGCUACUUGUUAUUUUACUUCCAAAUUCUGAUAAUUUAAUUCUUUAAAUACUGUACUAUUCUCAUUUACACCAGGGUCCAAUCAACAGGAUAAUUUUUUUUAAAGAUUUUUUUAUAUAUUGCGAAUCCUGUUUACUGAGGCUAAACACAGGAAGUAACACACAGACACACUAAGACACCGAACUAAUAAUUGUGAGCAACAAAUCCUCCUGAACCAAAGAUGAAAAACAGUUUACCUGGAGUGUAGAUAGGAUAAAACCUUGGUCAGCACCAAUCGGUAAAAAGCCAAAUCUUCACCAUAGUUCUUGAAAUUUUGUCUCGUUGACAACUAAUGUUGCUAAAGGUUCUGUUUCAUAGGUCUGGUUUACAUCAGAAAAUUAGAUAAACCCAGCUACAACUCUCAGGGGUGUGAAAAAUCCAUAUCUCUGAGCAACAUAGUUAAGCCAACCUAAGUCCCAAUGUAGACAGUGCUAGGUUGAUGGAAGAAUUCUUCCACUGACCAUGCUACCGCCUCUCAAGGAGGUGGAUUAUCUAUGCUGAUGGGAGAACCCCUCCCAUCAGUGCAGGCAAUGUCUAUACUGAUGCGCUACAGCAGAACGGCUGCAGCUAUGCCACUACAGUGUUUCAAGUGUAGACAAGCCCUAAUACCCCAGCCAUACUUGGGAGGACCAAUGAACAUAAAAGCAUUUAAAGUGAUCUCUGCAAUAAGAUUUGGAAGGUUUAAAAGAGGUGUGACUUGUAAAUUACCUUUAUAUUAUAGCAGAAAUUUGAUACAGAAGUUGUAAAACAGUUACACAGUGUUUAAAGCAGCCUAACACUAAUAGUGGCACAGUUGCACAUCUAUCUAGGAGUGUUUGUUUUUUACAGCUGGAUAGAAUAAAUGGGAACAGGUUUUAAUCUCUUUUGAUGUAACUGAUUUUUCUAUGUACCUCUACAUAUUCAGAGUACAAAACAAAGGACAUAAAUUUAGGAAGUUUGCUAUUUUUGUUUUCUUAUAAAGCUCAAGACCUCAUGCUCUUCUCUAUCUCACUAAUGAGAGAGGUGGUGGGCCAACCAUUUGUAGGACAUAAUAUCACUGUACGAAAACAAAGCAUCAGAAAAUCUAGACUCCUAUUAAGGAGCUCAUGUCAAGAGAAGCAUAUGGUUCGCUGUCUGCCUCGGCUACAGCCAAUAAGGAUAAUUAAGUACAUGUUGUGUGUGGAAAUAAUUCUUGCAGCUUAAAUGUUGCCCAUUACUUUAUUUCAUUGUAGCUUAGGUUUCUUUUUUCCCCCAUUUUUAAAAAAUGUCUCAUAUUUGAUUUUUUUCCAUCUCACUGCUAAUUUUACCAGUGUUCAUACUUGUUGCUCAAUGGACUCAAACAACAUACUUGUGCUGUCCUGUGUUCCUAUGUACUAACACGUUUUUCUACUUCAUUGUUCAAGUCCCAGUUAUUUGGUUUGUACUUCAGUAUCAAUAUCAAGAAGUGAUGUUGACUGUGUUGGCAUUUCCUCCUGACAGGAUGAGAUAGCAAUACAAAAAAUUUCUCAUAUUCCGAAGUCAUAUGUUGAAUGAGUUCCACAGUAAGCACCCAACACUUAAAAUACCUCUGAUCCUCACUGAGAUCAGCAAGAAUUAGGAGGUUUCAUAUAAUUCAGUUCCUCCCCCUUUAUUUCUGCUACAGUUGAUGUCUUUUCCAAUAGAUUACACUAUUUGCCAACACAAUCAACAGAAACACACAGCAGUGCUUAGAAAAUACAUACACUGAUUUCAUUCAAAAUAGUCAUGACGCAGAAAUGAAAUUCUUCCAAUUAAUUUUCUGAGCAGGGUAAACUUAAGUUAUUUUACAGUACUAUAAGGGAUCAACGUAUUUAUUAUUUUUCAUUAGCUUGUAGGGUUUUUUUUAAUUACUUGAAUAGGUUAUUAUCAGCUAUGUUGAGUGCACAGAAUCUUGCAUAUUGUGCCUUUCAUCCCAAAGGAAUGGAUAUUCCUAAUGUAAUAAAGUUAUAUUUUAGGAAUUAGUGUUCUGCUAAGUGAAUUCUUUUACAAUUCCACUGAACAUGCGUUUUUCAAAGAUUACUAAUAUUUCCCAAAUAUAAAAAAAGUUACGUACCUCUCAUAACUGUUGUUCUUUGAGAUGUGCUGCUCACAUCCAUUGCAAGUAGAUGUGCCCAUGCCACGUGCACAGUCAUCGAAAGGUUUUCCCCUUCACAGCUGACCCAACAGGUACUGCUAAGCCCCCUGGAGUGACGACUUCAUGGCGGCGUAUAUAGGUCCCUGCCAACCCGCCACCUCUUCACCUGCCACCACUCCUUCUUGCCAGAGUACUCCAACAGAGGUGUAGGUGCGUGGGUCUUGGAAUGGACAUGAACACCACAUCUUGAAGAACAGUAACGAGAGGUAGGUAACUGUUUUUUCUUCUGCGAGUGCUUGCUCAUGUCAAUUCCAAGUAGGUGACUCCCAAGCAGUCCCUAGGAGGAGGGAUCGGAGUUCACUGAGUCACAGACUGCUGCACCGCGCUGCCAAACGUGAGAUCAUCUCUGGCCUGCUGUGUAAUGGUGUAGUACGACAUAAAGGUGUGGAUUGAUGAUGUCGCUGCUCUGCAGAUGUCUUGAAUGGGGACAUCUGCCAGGAACGCUGCCAAGGAAGCCUGCAAUCUCAUGGAGUACGCUGUUAUUGCUAGGGCAGGUAUUUUUGCUAGGUCGUAGCACGUCCUGAUACAGGCCAUGAUCCAUGAAGAGAUCCUUUGGGACGAUACCAGAAGCCCCCUCAUCCACUCAGCAAUUGCAAUGAAGAGCUGUGUUGAUUUUCGAAACCGCUUUUUCUGCUCAAUGUAAAAAGCUAACACUUGUCUGACAUCUAGGGAGUGGAGCAUCCGUUGCCAGUUACUAGCAUGCAGCUUAGGGAAGAACACUGGAAGAAAUAUGUCCCAAUUCGCAUGGAAUUGCGAAAGUAUCUUUUGGAGGAAAGUCAGGUGUGGCCGCAACUGUACCUUGUCCUUAUAAAAAACAGUAUAAGGGGGCUCGGAGGUCAAGGCCUUAAGCUCAGACACCUUCCCUGGCUGAAGUUAUUGCCACCAGGAAUGCACUUUCCAGGAAAGGUAGAGGAGGGAGCAUGUUGCUAAGGGCAUACAAAGAGGGCCCAUCAGCCUCAAGAGCACCAGGUUGAGAUCCCAUGGGGGGACUGGCUGCCUUACAUGAGGGUAUAGUCUCUAUCUAGUUCCUUGAGGAAGUGGCCAACCAUGGGCUUAGCAAAUACUGACCAGUCGGCAGAACUGGGAUGGAAAGCAGAGAUGGCAGCCAGAAGCACCUUUACUGAUGAUACUGCCAGACCUUGCUGUUUCAGGUGCAGUAAAUAAUCCAGGAUGAAGGGAAUCGAUGACUGUAAUGGUAGAGUGUCCUUUUUCAGUGACCAAGCCAAGAACCUCUUCCACUUAGCCAAGUAAGUGGCUCUAGCGGACGAUUUCCUGCUGCCAAAGAGAAUCUCCCUAACAGAGUCUGAGCAUGUGAGCUCCAAAGAAUUUAGCCACAGAGUUUCCGUGCCAUGAGGUGGAGAGACUCUAGAUUAAGAUACUGGAGGCGGCUGUGGUCCUGGGUGAUCAAGUCCAGGACCAGGGCAAUAGGUGUGUCUACUGACAGGUCUAGAAGCAUGGUGAACCAGUGGUGAUGUGACCAUGCCGGUACUGUCAAGAUCACUGAUGUUCCCCCUCUUUGGACUUUCAGCAGGACCUUGUGCAUGAGCGGAAAGGGUGGGAAUGCAUACAGCAGGUGUCC